rnacentral:rRNA from 1 species
UACAGGGGGUGCAAGCGUUGUUCGGAAUUACUGGGCGUAAAGGGCGCGUAGGCGGCGACUCAAGUUAGAUGUGAAAGUCCUGGGCUUAACCUGGGGACUGCAUUUGAUACUGGGUUGCUUGAAUUCGGGAGAGGAUAGCGGAAUUCCCAGUGUAGAGGUGAAAUUCGUAGAUAUUGGGAAGAACACCGGUGGCGAAGGCGGCUAUCUGGACCGACAUUGACGCUGAGGCGCGAAAGCGUGGGGAGCAAACAGG